rnacentral:rRNA from 1 species
AGGGGUAUAUUGCACAAUGGGGGAAACCCUGAGGCAGCGACGCCGCGGGAGCGAAGAAGGUUUUCGAAUAGUAAAGCUCUGUCCUAUGAGAAGAUAAUGACGGUAUCAUAGGAGGAAGCCCCGGCUAAAUACGUGCCAGCAGCCGCGGUAAUAUGUAUGGGGCGAGCGUUGUCCGGAAUUAUUGGGCGUAAAGGGUACGUAGGCGGUCUAUUAAGACAGGUGUGAAAGCGUGAGGCUUAACCUCAUUAAGCACUUGAAACUGAUAGACUUGUGUGAAGGAGAGGAAAGUGGAAUUCCUAGUGUCGCGGUCAGAUGCAUAGAUAUUAGGAGACAUACCCGUGACGAAGGAGACUUUCUGGACAUUUAAUCAAGCUCUAGUACGUACGCGAGGGGAGCUAUCAGG